GAGCCUCAAAACAAAGAUCUAGAUCAGUUUCAUACAUCAUGCAUUUAUAUGUUAAUUUUUAUCCUGACAAUAAAAACAUUUUUGCCGGAAACGCAAUACAAAUAAGCAGGAAAGUUCAAGAAUAAUAAAUAAUCUUGAAAUGAUUUUUGGCAAAGUUUUCUUUUUGCCUAUUUUCCCUUGAAUAGUAUUUGUCUUGCAAAAAUUAAGUUCCCUUAGCUGCAAAGAAAGGAUAUUCAUACAAAUAUUUUUAUACAUGGGCAUGUAUUGAGGAUCCUUUGAGUCAUUAAGUGAUAAGGAAACCGUCCCAGCAAAUACACAGUUAGGUUUGCACAAUAAUAGAAAUGUCAUUUAUGAUACAACAAUAUUUCAACAUCUCUGGUCUGACUGUAACCCUUUUUAACAGUUUUAGCAAUAUUCACUUCAGCAAAAAAAUGUCCAUUGCUCACUCAUCUAUGACCCACCAUUCUGAUGAUUAGAUUACUUUAUAUACAUCUUUGAUGGAUAAAAUUUUUGUAUUAAUAGUGAUGAACAGUAUUUUCUCAUUCUUAUGGAAUUCUUUAAAGCCAUUGACCUGGAGCCUGAGGAAUGUCAUCUCAAACUAUCUUAGAUAUAUACUCCCCCAGCUUCAGAGUGUGCUAGGGACUAAUAAGGACCAGCUGAAUUCCUUUCCAGGAACCGUUAUUAGACAAGAGGAGCCACUUACCCUAGGUUACUCCCUUCCUAUACCACAUCCAAUUAUUAUUACCACAUCCAUGCAGUCAUAUAAAGGACUGGCUCUCUUUCUCAGGACAGGAUGACUGUGAAGGGCCAUUCCAAGUUAAGGGCUCUCUGUGGGACUGAUGAGGCCUUUCGUAAUACCGCAUCCCAGUUCAGUAUUUCAUUGCACACAAUUAUACUUCCCUACCACAGGUAUUGAUCCAGCACAAAGAUCUCCAUCAUAGAGUUUGUUUCCAAUGGAAUUCAAAUAAGAUCAUUGAUACUAGGCAUGCUCUAAGGAAGCAGACUAAAGUAAGACAUUGGACAUGGAUCACUCACCAGAAGGCUGAUAAUGAGGACAUCAUUACUGCUUGUAGAUGAUUACUGCUUGUAGAUGGAACAGUGAUAGCCAUUGUAAUGCUAUAGCUGCACAAUUAUUAGAAUUUAUUUAUCUUAAACUAAAGUAAGAUAGUUGAGGCUGGAACUGUAUUGGUAAUUGUAAUGUUUCAGUUGAGAAAUAUAAAUAAUAAUGACUAAGGAAUUGAAUGAUAUUGUGGCAAUCAAUAUCAGUGAAAUAUAGUGUUAAAUUGAAGAUAAUCACACAUUUAAGGUGAAGUGUAAAAUCCACAUGGCCUAUAUUAUGAAACAGUUACUAAGUAUGGUUAAUAUAAUAGAAGCAAGAAUAAAUAUGUACAGAAUUAGGUACUGAGAGUGCUGAACCGAAGGGAAUGGAACAUGAAAGUUAGGAUUAAAUCAUGGCCUUAAUUAUACAGUAAUUUGCUAUUAAGUCUGAAAAGUAUGUGGUUUUCCAUUUUUAUGAAGGUGAACCAGAUGCAUUUCAUAAUCUCAUGGGACAGAAGAUAGUGCAUAUGUAUGCUUUUGAUCCAGAGCUAGGUAACUCUCUUGCUUUCUGUCAUAAUAUAGUCUGAAUUGAUCUGAAAAAUCUAUACAACCCACUGAACUUCACUGAACAUUAGUCAUCUGUCAUUAAUGUCUUAUUAGUUGAAGUAGAUAACUAAGAAUGAACAGAUACAUUGGAGGUCUUGGCAAUAUGUCUGUAUCCUAGAACAUGGAGAUUUAAAAAAUAUGAAAGGCCUUACCCAUAUCAAUAAAAUUUUUAGGGGUCUGAGUAUCUAAGGGAUGCUGAGACAUCCCAGCAUCAUAAGGAACAAAUCAAUGCAUCUUAUAUGACACACUACUAAUAAAGAGGCACACUACCUGAUAGUUAAUUUUUUUUUUUUACUGGCUCUGGAGGUAAUAGCAUAUUCCAAACUUGUAAAUAAUGAUGUGCCACUUUUACCAUGUGAUGUUACUGUGGACUGAAUUAUGUCUCCUCUCCAAAUUCAUGUAUUAGAAUCCCUAACCUCCAAAGUGAUAGUAUUUGGAGAUGGGCCCAUUUGAAGAUAAUUAGGUUUGGAUGAGGUCAUGAUACCAGGGCCUACAUUAUGGGAUGAGUUCCCAUAUAAGAACAAGAAGAGACACCAAAGCUCUCUUUCUGUUUUCAAGCUCACAAAAAUGUCGUGAGCACACAGCAAGAUGGUGACAUCUGCAAGCCAGGAAGGAUGCUCUCACAAGGAAAUGAACUGGCCAGUACCUUGAUCUUGGAUUUCCCAGUUUCUAAAACUCUGAGAAAUAAAUGUUUAUUAUUUAAGGUACCAAUGUAUAGUAUUUUGUUAUAGCAGCCCGAAUAGACUAAGACAGACAUAAAAAGCUAUCAGAUUUGAAUGAAAUUCAGAAUAUGAAAGUGCCCUUAGGUCCAGGUGGCAAUUCAAGCACUCCUGUUGUUUAAACAGGACAAUUCAACAAACAUUAGAGGUUUAUAUGCUGUUGGAAAAUACCUUAUGUGAAGCCCAUGGCAACCUCAAUAUGAAAAUCACAAGUUAGAACUAUAAACUAAUGGACCCAUUUUUUGACAUCUGCAGAAUAUAAUUGUAUACUUCACAAAAAUAGUUCUGAUGUGCUAUGGGACUUGAAGAGAAAGAGUCUGAUAUCAGGAUGUGUCACAAGAGUGACCAUGUGAUCAAAACUUCUCCAUCAUACUCCCAUUUCUAUCUGAACGAACAAGUCAAAGGCAAAGGUGGCCCAGCAGAAAUCCAUUAUGAAAUGGAGGUGGUACAUUCAAGAUUGAUCACAAGUAGAACUAGGGAAUGCAAAUAAGCUUCUUCCUCAGCUCAAACCUAUGUCCAUAUUGGAUUACAUUAUGAUUAAUGGAGGAGAAAAAAGGUGAAGCUUGCUUAAUGGAAGUGUUGAUCAUUAUGGGAUGUAAGCUAAUAAAAUAUGAUUGCUGCACUAAAGCCAAAAUCAGGAGUGGUCGUAAAGAAUAGUGGGUAGGAAAAUCAAUCCUCCCAGUGUACACUAUUUUAUCCACUUUAUAAAUGGAGUCAACCCUGCACCUGACCCCCAAGUGAAAUUAGUCAGAGCUCAGUACCAGGGUCUAUGUAAUAGGCUGUCAGGCUGUUUCACCAUAUCAUGUGGUCAGACAUAUUUCUGCUAU
rnacentral:lncRNA from 1 species